GAUGAACGCUGGCGGCGUGCCUAAUACAUGCAAGUCGAGCGAGUGGAUUAAGAGCUUGCUCUUAUGAAGUUAGCGGCGGACGGGUGAGUAACACGUGGGUAACCUGCCCAUAAGACUGGGAUAACUCCGGGAAACCGGGGCUAAUACCGGAUAACAUUUUGAACCGCAUGGUUCGAAAUUGAAAGGCGGCUUCGGCUGUCACUUAUGGAUGGACCCGCGUCGCAUUAGCUAGUUGGUGAGGUAACGGCUCACCAAGGCAACGAUGCGUAGCCGACCUGAGAGGGUGAACGGCCACACUGGGACUGAGACACGGCCCAGACUCCUACGGGAGGCAGCAGUAGGGAAUCUUCCGCAAUGGACGAAAGUCUGACGGAGCAACGCCGCGUGAGUGAUGAAGGCUUUCGGGUCGUAAAACUCUGUUGUUAGGGAAGAACAAGUGCUAGUUGAAUAAGCUGACACCUUGACGGUACCUAACCAGAAAGCCACGGCUAACUACGUGCCAGCCGCCGCGGUAA
rnacentral:rRNA from 1 species